rnacentral:rRNA from 1 species
UACGAAGGGUGCAAGCGUUGCUCGGAAUUAUUGGGCGUAAAGGGCAGGUAGGUGGUCUCGUUUGUCUGGAGUGAAAUCCCUGGGCUCAACCCAGGAAGUGCUUUGGAAACGGCGAGACUAGAGUUCUAGAGGGGUCCGUGGAAUUCUCGGUGUAGCGGUGAAAUGCGUAGAGAUCGAGAGGAACACCAGAGGCGAAGGCGGCGGACUGGAUAGAUACUGACACUAAACUGCGAAAGCGUGGGGAGCAAACAGG